rnacentral:rRNA from 1 species
CGUGGGUAACCUGCCUCAUACAGGGGGAUAACAGUUAGAAAUGACUGCUAAUACCGCAUAAGCGCACAGCAUCGCAUGAUGCCGUGUGAAAAACUCCGGUGGUAUGAGAUGGACCCGCGUCUGAUUGGCUAGUUGGUGAGGUAACGGCCCACCAAGGCGACGAUCAGUAGCCGACCUGAGAGGGUGACCGGCCACAUUGGGACUGAGACACGGCCCAA